rnacentral:piRNA from 1 species
AAUGAUGUUGAUCCAAAUGUCUGACCUGAA